rnacentral:rRNA from 1 species
CUCAGUAACACGUGGACAAAUCUGCCCUAAGGAGGGGGAUAACUUCGGGAAAACUGAAGAUAAUACCCCAUAGAUCAUGAAUGCUGGAAUGCUUCAUGAUUCAAAGCUCCGGCGCCUUAGGAUGAGUCUGCGGCCUAUCAGGUUGUAGUGGGUGUAGUGGACCCACUAGCCACUGACGGGUACGGGCGUUGGGAGACGUCGCCCGGAGAUGGAUUCUGAGACACGAAUCCAGGCCCUACGGGGCGCAGCAGUUACGAAAACUUGACAAUGCGGGAAACCGCGAUCAGGGAAUUCCAAGUGCAUGCACAAUGUGUAUGCCGUUCCAUUGUCUUAAAAACAUAGGAAGUAAGGGCUGGGUAAGACAGGUGCCAGCCGCCGCGGUAAUACCUGCAGCCCGAGUGGUGGUCGAUAUUAUUGAGCCUAAAGCGUCCGUAGCCGGACUAGUAAAUUCUUGGGUAAAUCGGGCAGCUUAACUGUCCGACUUCCGAGGAGACUGCUAGUCUUGGGACUGGGAGAGGUCAGAGGUACUCCAGGGGUAGGGGCUAAAUCCUGUAAUCCUUGGGGGACCACCAGUGGCGAAGGCGUCUGACUAGAACGGAUCCGACGGUAAGGGACGAAACCCUGGGGCGCAAACCGGAUUAGAUACCCGGGUAGUCCAGGGCGUAAACGCUGCAGGCUUGGUGUUGAGGAUCCUACGAGGAUGCUCAGUGCCGGAGUGAAGGGGGUCUCCUCCGCUUGGGGAGUACGUCCGCAAGGAUGAAACUAAAG